UCCAACUCUCACACAUAAGCAGACAGACAGUCCAAGACCGUUUCAGUUGAAGGAUGGAUCCAUGUACAAUGAUCGCAGCUGGCGCAGGAGCAGCCGCAGCAGUCGUUGCAGCUCCUGCUGUUCUAGCAGCGGCAGGUUUCACUGCAGGUGGAAUUGCUGUUGGUUCUAUUGCCUCCUCUUUGAUGUCAGCUGCUGCUGUCGCUAACGGAGGAGGGAUCGCAGCUGGAUCCGUGGUUGCAGCUCUUCAAGCCGCUGGUUUGCCAAUUUCUUAAAACCUCUGCUAUUGUAUUCUGUGAAUUUCUUCUUUACUCUGUGCGAUUUAAAAGCGGGCUGUUUGAGCUAGACUGUGGGUUCACACUGGGUUACCGCC